UACGUAGGGGGCGAGCGUUGUCCGGAUUUAUUGGGCGUAAAGGGCGCGUAGGCGGCUUGGCAAGUCGGAUGUGAAAUCUCCAGGCUCAACCUGGAGUCGCCACCCGAUACUGCCAUGGCUAGAGUCCGGUAGGGGACCACGGAAUCUCUGGUGUAGCGGUGAAAUGCGCAGAUAUCAGAGGGAACACCGGUGGCGAAGGCGGUGGUCUGGGCCGGAACUGACGCUGAUGCGCGAAAGCGUGGGGAGCGAACAGG
rnacentral:rRNA from 1 species